AUGCACGCUGGCGGCGUGCCUAAUACAUGCAAGUCGAGCGAACAGACGAGGAGCUUGCCCCUCUGACGUUAGCGGCGGACGGGUGAGUAACACGUGGAUAACCUACCUAUAAGACUGGGAUAACUUCGGGAAACCGGAGCUAAUACCGGAUAAUAUAUUGAACCGCAUGGUUCAAUAGUGAAAGACGGUUUUGCUGUCACUUAUAGAUGGAUCCGCGCCGCAUUAGCUAGUUGGUAAGGUAACGGCUUACCAAGGCAACGAUGCGUAGCCGACCUGAGAGGGGAUCGGGCCACCCGGAACCUGGAACCGGGUCCGACUCCCACGGGAGGGAGGAGGAGGGAAUUCUUCGGCAUUGGGGAAAGGCCUACCGAGGCACGCCGGGUGGGUGAAGAAGGUUCUCCGAUUCGUAAACUCUGUUACUAGGGAAGAACAAAUGUGUAAGUAACUAUGCACAUCUUGACGGUACCUAAUCAGAAAGCCACGGCUAACUACGUG
rnacentral:rRNA from 1 species